GUUUACUGAAGAUGACCUUAGAGGAGAGGCGUAAAGAAUACAUAAGAGACUAUGUUGCCCUGGAUACCAUUCUAUCCUGGAAGGAGGAGAUGAAGGGCAAGAGCCAAAAUGAUGGAUGCAUCUCUCUCUAAUGGUUGAAGAAGUGGUGGAGGAUGCAAUGGGGCAGAGCACCUGUGGAUCCUUGCCUGGGACAAGUUAUGGAAAGAAAACUCUUACAGCUUGGGAACUAGGAAAAGAGCCAUUUUAUGUGAUCUUGUCUUCCAGUCCAGUUUGAAUCAAGAAAAACCUACUGAAGACUCCUUUAAGAACAGUAUGUUUUGAAGAAGGAAAGGAAAUACUGUUUGAGCGAAGGCAAACAAACCAAAAGGGUGAUGGAAA